AGGUUCUCUUUUUGGGGAUCUCUUCUUUUGGAGUUUUCUACUGUGAGCUUAGGACACAGGUCAGCAUGUGUUCUGAAAUGUUCCUCUGGAACAUUUUGGUGUACUUCCUCCAGAGAAUGACAAGCUGUGAAGAGAGUCAUCAAUUCAUGCUGUCAUUGCUAUCAAUUCCUGAAUUAUGUGAUUGAUCACGUGAAGGUGCCACACGGUGGUGCUCCUGACUCCACGUUGCUCAACGGCCUGCACUGGCUGGAGGGAGUUAAAGCAGCAAGCCUACCAGAAAUGGCUUUGGAAGAAGGGCAAAGAAGUAAAAGAUUCAUCAAGGUUCAUAUUUCAGCAUCCUCUGGAAAACAGGGACAGAUACCUUUCUCUGGGUCAGUCAUGAAUGUGAAAAGAAGCAAAGCAGAGAGGAGAUGCAUCUUCUCCAUGUAAGGAGGGGAUCACAUAUAAUUAUAACAGCCAUGGUGGACCCAGGCAGGAGGUCUAUUCUUGGGACAGCCAGCAGUGGCAUUGGCCUAAUGUCAGUUGAAGUAUCCCUUUUUCUCGUGAGUAAAACUUCAUGUUCAUCUAUAUCAAGGCUAUGGCUCAUUGAAAUCAGCAAGAAUGAUUUAAUUGAUUUUUGUGUCUAAUCCUGUGAACUGUAGCAUUCUGUUAGUGUUUAGCCUUAUUCAUUUAGGAGUUCUGUUCAUCUCUCACUGAGAAUUUCUGAAAACUUUACUGAAAAAAUGGAUUGGGCAUUUAGCUAUUUAUGAGAAUCUUGCUUUUAAAUUGUGAGAAGAUAUCUUUUUAAUUAAUCCUUGCAGGAAACAAUUGAAUGCUUGACCUACAAGGAUAAUUACUUGUGUUCUGCUUUGAUUAUUUUGUAAAAGUUUUAUUGGAUUUAUACAAUGUAUUGCAUAAUGUAUGAUCUAAAAGUGGAGCUUUAUACUACAGUAUAAACUUUCUAGAGAAUUGACAACCAUGUUGUCUAUAUAAACACAUCAUUCUGUAAUUAGACUUAGUAUAAUUUUUUUUAGAAAUUAUCUUUGCUGUCAUUCUGUGUUUUGUAUAUUUCUUCAUACACAGAAAUUUUCAUUAAACCAUAAACUGACUAUUGCAGAAA